rnacentral:rRNA from 1 species
CAACGACUAGUAGACAUCGUUUACGGCGUGGACUACCAGGGUAUCUAAUCCUGUUUGCUACCCCACGCUUUCGAGCCUCAGUGUCAGUGUGAUGCCAGGAAGCUGCCUUCGCCAUCGGUAUUCCUUCAGAUCUCUACGCAUUUCACCGCUACACCUGAAAUUCUACUUCCCUCUCACCUACUCUAGCCUAACAGUUUCAGAUGCAGUUCCCAGGUUAAGCCCGGGGAUUCCACAUCUGACUUAUCAAGCCACCUACGCUCGCUUUACGCCCAGUAAUUCCGAUUAACGCUUGCACCCUCUGUAUUACCGCGGCUGCUGGCACAGAGUUAGCCGGUGCUUAUUCUGCAGCUAAUGUCAUCGUCUCCGGGUAUUAACCGAAGAGUCUUCUUCACUGCUUAAAGUGCUUUACAACCAAAAGGCCUUCUUCACACACGCGGCAUGGCUGGAUCAGGGUUUCCCCCAUUGUCCAAUAUUCCCCACUGCUGCCUCCCGUAGGAGUCCGGGCCGUGUCUCAGUCCCGGUGUGGCUGAUCAUCCUCUCAGACCAGCUACAGAUCGUCGCCAUGGUAGGCCUUUACCCCACCAUCUAGCUAAUCCGACUUAGGCUCAUCUAAUAGCGAGAGCAGUAAACUGCCCCCUUUCUCCCGUAGGUCGUAUGCGGUAUUAAUACGAGUUUCCCCGUGCUAUCCCCCACUACUAGGUAGAUUCCCAAGUAUUACUCACCCGUCCGCCGCUCGACGCCUGGUAGCAAGCUACCAUCGUUUCCGCUCGACUUGCAUGUGUUAAGCCUGCCGCCAGCGUUCAAUCUGAGCCAGGAUCAAACUCU